UGUCAUAUACUUUCAAAGGUCCAUUACAGC
rnacentral:piRNA from 1 species